UUAAAUCCUGAAAACAUUAAUCCUUUACGAUUUAUUUUCGAGCGGAGCGUUUAACUUCUCUGCGUACACGACGGAUCUUGAAGCAAUUUAGUAUUCAUUUUAUGUUUUUUUAAGAAGCUCAUUGGAAGGAUGUACAUGUAUACAAAUGGACAGUUUUUGAAUUUUCCAAAUUCAGACUCAGGUUAUUUUUAGGAAAAGCGGAAGAAUGUCCGGAAGCAGCCAGGAUUCGAGUAAUUCUUAAGAGAA